rnacentral:sRNA from 1 species
GCUGGGUGUGGUGGUGCACACCUGUAAUCCCAGCUACUUGGAAGGCUGAGGCAGAAGAAUUGCUUGAACCCAGGGGGCAGAGGUUUCCGUGAGCCGAGAUCAUGCCAUUGCACUCCAGCCUGGGUGACAGAGCAAGACUCUGUCUCAA